rnacentral:rRNA from 1 species
GAUCUUGGGCCGGGGGGAGCGGUCCGCCCCUUGUGGGUGUGCACUGGUCCACCCGGCCUUUCUGCCGGGGACGCGCUCCUGGCCUUCGCUGGUCGGGACGCGGAGUCGGCGAUGUUACUUUGAAAAAAUUAGAGUGCUCAAAGCAAGCCUAUGCUCUGAAUACAUUAGCAUGGAAUAACGUGAUAGGACUCUGGUCCUGUUGUGUUGGUCUUCGGGACCGGAGUAAUGAUUAAUAGGGACAGUUGGGGGCAUUCGUAUUUCAUUGUCAGAGGUGAAAUUCUUGGAUUUAUGAAAGACGAACUUCUGCGAAAGCAUU